AGGGUUUGAUUAUGGCUCAGGAUGAACGCUGGCGGCGUGCUUAACACAUGCAAGUCGAACGAACCUUCGGGUUAGUGGCGGACGGGUGAGUAACGCGUGAGAAUCUGCCCUCAGGAGGGGGACAACAGCUGGAAACGGCUACUAGUACCCCAUAUGCCGCGAGGUGAAAUGAAUUUCGCCUGAGGAUGAGCUCGCGUCUGAUUAGCUAGUUGGUGUAGGUAAUGGCUCACCAAGGCAUCGAUCAGUAGCUGGUCUGAGAGGAUGAUCAGCCACACUGGGACUGAGACACGGCCCAGACUCCUACGGGAGGCAGCAGUGGGGAAUUUUCCGCAAUGGGCGAAAGCCUGACGGAGCAACGCCGCGUGAGGGAUGAAGGCCUCUGGGCUGUAAACCUCUUUUAUCAAGGAAGAAGAUCUGACGGUACUUGAUGAAUAAGCCACGGCUAAUUCCGUGCCAGCAGCCGCGGUAAUACGGGAGUGGCAAGCGUUAUCCGGAAUUAUUGGGCGUAAAGCGUCCGCAGGCGGCCCUUCAAGUCUGCUGUUAAAAAGUGGAGCUUAACUCCAUCAUGGCAGUGGAAACUGUUGGGCUUGAGUGUGGUAGGGGCAGAGGGAUUCCCGGUGUAGCGGUGAAAUGCGUAGAUAUCGAGAAGAACACCAGUGGCGAAGGCGCUCUGCUGGGCCAUCACUGACGCUCAUGGACGAAAGCCAGGGGAGCGAAAGGGAUUAGAUACCCCUGUAGUCCUGGCCGUAAACGAUGAACACUAGGUGUCGGGGGAAUCGACCCCCUCGGUGUCGUAGCCAACGCGUUAAGUGUUCCGCCUGGGGAGUACGCACGCAAGUGUGAAACUCAAAGGAAUUGACGGGGGCCCGCACAAGCGGUGGAGUAUGUGGUUUAAUUCGAUGCAACGCGAAGAACCUUACCAGGGUUUGACAUCCUGCGAAUCUCUUGGAAACAGGAGAGUGCCUUCGGGAACGCAGUGACAGGUGGUGCAUGGCUGUCGUCAGCUCGUGUCGUGAGAUGUUGGGUUAAGUCCCGCAACGAGCGCAACCCACGUCUUUAGUUGCCAGCAUUUAGUUGGGCACUCUAGAGAGACUGCCGGUGAUAAACCGGAGGAAGGUGUGGAUGACGUCAAGUCAUCAUGCCCCUUACAUCCUGGGCUACACACGUACUACAAUGCUACGGACAAAGGGCAGCAAGUUCGCGAGGACAAGCAAAUCCCAUAAACCGUGGCUCAGUUCAGAUCGUAGGCUGCAACUCGCCUACGUGAAGGCGGAAUCGCUAGUAAUCGCAGGUCAGCAUACUGCGGUGAAUACGUUCCCGGGCCUUGUACACACCGCCCGUCACACCAUGGAAGUUGGCCACGCCCGAAGCCGUUACUCCAACCCUUGUGGAGGAGGACGUCGAAGGUGGGGCUGAUGACUGGGGUGAAGUCGUAACAAGGUAACCAAGGG
rnacentral:rRNA from 1 species